rnacentral:piRNA from 1 species
UGUGAGUGACGGUGAAUCAAGCUGUGGAC